rnacentral:lncRNA from 1 species
CAGAUUUCUACAAUGGGCAUGCAGCACCAUGAUGGCUGGGGAGGAAAAAACUAAAAAUCAAAAAGUCAAAAAUUAAAACAAAAGCUGGUUUUAUUGAUCGAUAACUGCACAUUUUUGGUUGGAGGUGCCAGCUCUUGACGAAUUUGCAGCCCUCUCACUCUCGAUAUUGGAGCUUCUUCCUCCUGUGCUGUCUUCUCUGCCUGGGGAAAUUUGUGUCCCUCAGCUAGGCCACCCAGGGGAAUCACAUGAUGAUCCUGAACAUUCCAUCCCAUCAGGCUGUGCACAGGACUGGCUGCAUCUGAGAUCAAACGAUGUUCAAAGAAAGUUCAGACUCCAGCACUCCAGUUAGGGCAAGCCUCUUAAAAGGUGAGCGUCUUGAUACCUCAAUGUAAUAAAGGCC